GAAGGCUUUUUUAUUUGAUCAAGGCUAUGGCGUCCCGAUGGAAUCGGGAAGGUCAUCGGUUCGACUCCGAUAUUCUCCA
rnacentral:tRNA from 1 species